rnacentral:ncRNA from 1 species
GUUAGAGCAUUGAGAGGACCGGGAAGGACGCACCUCUAGUGUACCAGUUAUCGUACCUACGGUAAAUGCUGGGUAGCCAUGUGCGGAACGGAUAACUUCUGAAAGCAUCUAAGUAGUAAGCCCACCCCAAGAUGAGUGCUUUCCUAUUAUGACUUCUCCAGAGCUUCCGUUAGCACAACCGAGACAGCGAUGGGUUCUCUUCCCCUGCGGGGAUGGAGAGGCAGAACUUUUUUUUCAUAAUUCAAGAGAAGGUCACGGUGAGACGAGCCGUUUAUCAUUACGAUAGGUGUCAAGUGGAAGUGCAGUGAUGUAUGCAGCUAAGGCAUCCUAACAGACCGG